rnacentral:rRNA from 1 species
GUGGGGAAUAUUGGACAAUGGGGGGAACCCUGAUCCAGCCAUGCCGCGUGUGUGAAGAAGGCCUUUUGGUUGUAAAGCACUUUAAGCGAGGAGGAGGCUACCGAGAUUAAUACUCUUGGAUAGUGGACGUUACUCGCAGAAUAAGCACCGGCUAACUCUGUGCCAGCAGCCGCGGUAAUACAGAGGGUGCAAGCGUUAAUCGGAUUUACUGGGCGUAAAGCGCGCGUAGGUGGCCAAUUAAGUCAAAUGUGAAAUCCCCGAGCUUAACUUGGGAAUUGCAUUCGAUACUGGUUGGCUAGAGUAUGGGAGAGGAUGGUAGAAUUCCAGGUGUAGCGGUGAAAUGCGUAGAGAUCUGGAGGAAUACCGAUGGCGAAGGCAGCCAUCUGGCCUAAUACUGACACUGAGGUGCGAAAGCAUGGGGAGCAAACAGGAUUAGAAACCCCAGUAGUCC